AAGUCAAAAAUUUUCUUCAGUCUCUAAGAUAUGGCAGCUACCAUGGAUUUUUGCAGUAGCAGACCAGUUCAAGCAGGUCCCUUCGGGGACGAGCUUAUGGAAGCACUUGAGCCUUUUAUUAAAAGUGCUUUAUCUUCUUCUCCUUCUCCUCCUCUCUCCUCAUCUUACCAGAUUCCAUCUUGUACUUCCUCCUCUAGUUAUUCUUCUGCCAAUGACAUCUCUUUCUGCCCUUCAUUUUCUACCAACACAACACAACCCAGUCUAUACUCGGGUGAUUGCUGUACCACCUCUAUGCCUCAACCUAUUUCAAACGCGCACUCGGUUCAUGAUCCGUCGGCUCUCCAGCAAUCGGGGUCGAUCGGGCUGAAUCACCUCACUCGGUCUCAGAUGAACCAGAUCCAGUCGCAAUUUCACCUCCAGAGUCAACAAAGCCCGUCUUUACUGUACCAAUAUUAUCCUCAACAGCAGCAUGCCUUUCAGUUCCUCAGCCCAAAGCCUGUUCCAAUGAAGCAAGUUGGUUCCCCCCCAAAGCCCACCAAGCUCUACAGGGGUGUGAGGCAGCGGCAUUGGGGCAAGUGGGUCGCCGAGAUCCGCCUGCCGAAGAACCGGACCCGGCUUUGGCUCGGCACCU
rnacentral:lncRNA from 1 species